rnacentral:rRNA from 1 species
AUUGAACGCUGGCGGCAUGCUUUACACAUGCCAGUCGAACGGUAACAGGCCUUCGGGUGCUGACGAGUGGCGAACGGGUGAGUAAUGCAUCGGAACGUACCCAGAGGUGGGGGAUAACGCAGCGAAAGCUGUGCUAAUACCGCAUGUGAUCUGAGGAUGAAAGCGGGGGACCGAGCAGCAAUGUUUGGCCUCGCGCCUUUGGAGCGGCCGCUGUCGGAUUAGCUAGUUGGGGGGGUAAAGUCCUACCAAGGCGACGAUCCGUAGCUGGUCUGAGAGGACGACCAGACACACUGGGACUGAGACACGGCCCAGACUCCUACGGGAGGCAGCAGUGGGGAAUUUUGGACAAUGGGCGCAAGCCUGAUCCAGCAAUGCCGCGUGAGGGAAGAAGGCCUUCGGGUUGUAAACCGCUUUUGGCAGGAACGAAACGGUGUCCGCUAAUACCGGGCGCUAAUGACGGUACCUGCAGAAUAAGCACCGGCUAACUACGUG